CCUACGGGAGGCAGCAGUGGGGAAUAGUGGGCAAUGGAGGAAACUCUGACCCAGCAAUGCCGCGUGAAGGAAGAAGGUCUUCGGAUUGUAAAGUUCUGUAGUCAGGGAAGAAGAAAAUGACGGUACCUGAAGAAUAAGCUCCGGCUAACUACGUGCCAGCAGCCGCGGUAAUACGUAGGGAGCAAGCGUUGGUCGGAAUGACUGGGCGUAAAGGGGGCGUAGGCGGUUAUCCAAGUUAGAAGUGAAAUACCCCGGGCCUAACUCGGGUGCUGCUUCGAAAACUGUAAGACUUGAGGGCAGUACAGGUUAGUGGCAUUCCUCGUGUAGCGGUGUAAUGCGUAGAUAUUAGGAGGAACCCCAGCGGCGAAGGCGGCUCACUGGACUGCAACUGACGCUGAGGCACGACAGUGUGGGGCGCAAACAGGAUUAGAUACCCGAGUAGUC
rnacentral:rRNA from 1 species